AACGAACGCUGGCGGCAGGCUUAACACAUGCAAGUCGAACGGUUGUAGCAAUACAGCAGUGGCGCACGGGUGAGUAACGCGUGGAUAUCUGCCUUUUGGUUCGGAAUAACUCCGGGAAACUGGAGCUAAUACCGGAUGGUUCCUACGGGAUAAAGAUUUAUCGCCAAAAGAUGAGUCCGCGUACGAUUAGCUAGUUGGUGGGGUAAUGGCCCACCAAGGCGACGAUCGUUAGCUGGUCUGAGAGGACGAUCAGCCACACUGGGACUGAGACACGGCCCAGACUCCUACGGGAGGCAGCAGUGGGGAAUAUUGGACAAUGGGCGAAAGCCUGAUCCAGCAAUGCCGCGUGUGUGAAGAAGGUCUUCGGAUCGUAAAGCACUUUCGACGGGGACGAUGAUGACGGUACCUGUAGAAGAAGCCCCGGCUAACUUCGUGCCAGCCGCCGCGGUAACAC
rnacentral:rRNA from 1 species